UACGGAGGAUGCGAGCGUUAUCCGGAUUUAUUGGGUUUAAAGGGUGCGUAGGCGGAUUAAUAAGUCAGUGGUGAAAACCUUCAGCUUAACUGGAGACUUGCCAUUGAUACUGUUAGUCUUGAGUACGGUCAAGGUAGGCGGAAUGUGUAAUGUAGCGGUGAAAUGCUUAGAUAUUACACAGAACACCGAUUGCGAAGGCAGCUUACUGGGCCGCAACUGACGCUGAUGCACGAAAGCGUGGGGAG
rnacentral:rRNA from 1 species